UAGCGGAGGGGGCUAGCGUUGUUCGGAAUUACUGGGCGUAAAGCGCGCGUAGGCGGAUCUGGCAAGUCGGGGGUGAAAUCCCAAGGCUCAACCUCGGAACUGCCUUCGAUACUGCGGGUCUCGAGUCCGGGAGAGGUGAGUGGAAUUCCUAGUGUAGAGGUGAAAUUCGUAGAUAUUAGGAAGAACACCAGUGGCGAAGGCGGGCUCACUGGCCCCGGGUACUG
rnacentral:rRNA from 1 species